GGGAGUAUAAUUUUAAUGGUAAAAUAUUUGUUUUGCGUACAAAAGUUAUAGGUUCGAGUCCUAUUACUUCCA
rnacentral:tRNA from 1 species